UCUCACUCGUGCCGCUCCUUCUCUUCCUCCCACGCUGCCUCCCUCUCUCCCUCGAAACCCUAACCCGCGCCGCCUCCAUGCCCCCCCGCCGGCCGCCACCGGCCGCCGCCGCCGCUCACUCGGGCACCCAGCCACGACCUCACACCGCCCCUCUCCUCUUCCUCCCGCCUCACCUCUCUCUCUCCUUCCAAACCCUAGACCACCUCCCUGCCCCGUCCCCGUCACCGAGGAGGAGCUCGCGCUCGGGGAGGAUGAGGAGACGGCCGCCUCCAUGGAGCAGCAGAAGGAGGAGGGGCACGCGGCGGCGGCGACCAAGAGGCGCAUGGCGCAGCCGACCAAGAAGGCCGGGAACAUGGCCACCGGCGACAAGGAGCCCGAGUUCCUCGACGAGCCGUCCUCGCCGACGAGGCCCGCUACAGGGAUGGAUGAGAGGAUCUGAGGUCCCCUCUGUCUGUUGACUGUUCGAAUUGUGGGCUGACAUACACACCACAGUAGUUAUUUGUAAUUCCAUUUGAUGGCUGGCAGGUGGAUAUUCAGGUCAGGAAGCUCUACUGCAACAACAGGGCUGACCCGAAGCUACCAAUCAGCAUGGAGGAUGCCGGACGGAGUGCUGAGGAGUUUGCAAUAGCUGAAUCAAAGGGAGUGCCACUUGUCCAUGUUGGUCAGGACACACGCUUGGACUAUCGAGUUAUUGAUGUCCGAACACUAGCAAAUCAAGCCAUUUUCCGUAUGCAGCAUCAAGUUGAAAACAUUGGUGAAAGCAACACCAUCGGCGUUCGUCGCCUUCAUCCUGGACCUCCCCAUGUUGUCUCUGUACUGCCCAACGGUACAUCAUAUGCUUCUCCUCCACGGUCGAUUGUUCACUAGGCUGGCCCAUGGAAGCACCACCGCUCAGUGGCCUUAGCGCUGGACCACGAGGUUGGAUAGGGCAAGCAUGUGUAUUCUUUAAUUAUUGGAGGCUUUCAUAUUCAUAUAUCAAUACAAGGCGGGAUAUGAUGCAGUUCUUUGUGAUUUGAAAGCAACUGGUGACUCAAUAUCAAUCAGUUCACAGAGGGAACUCUUCUCGACCGUGUCGGCGACAGGAACAGGGAAACGCCUGUCCACGGUGCCACCAAUGAACAAGGCCGAGACAAGCAUCGUAAGGAUCCAGUUAGAAUGAUGACUGAUAUCUUGUUAAAGCAUCUUGGGCUUCACAAGGCCAUCUGAGACUCGGGCUCAAUGAGAACACGAUGAGGUACAUGGAGAACUCCAGAAACACUAUAGUGAAGGAUCUAAACUAUGGCAGGCUGAGCAGAAUGCAGAAAGACUUUUGCUUAUCUAAGACUCAGGAUCGAUGAGGCAUUUGACAUGAUAAACAAGUGUCAAAGGUUACUUGUAUGAUCUGAGAUACAUGAGCUCCUUCUCAGAUCAGCUUCAUAAUGUGAUAGCACAUGGCUUUCCUCCUACCCGUGCCGUGGAUAUAUUGACAAACGUGACCCUUAUGAAUAUUGAAGUGGUGGCACAUAACCUUGAGAGCAGAAGCAAUCGUCUGUAGAAGAGGCUGCAUGCCAUAAAAAGACCGUCUUUAGGCGCAACAGCAUGAGAUGUUUGCACCAAUUGAUUUCUUCACACCAAGGCCAUGGCGUUGAUCAUCUAUGGACAUCACAAAUCAUCUAUUCUAACUCUCGCAAGUACGAGAUGAUAUAUGAUGCCACCAGCUCCUGUGAUGUACCGUGUAAACUACUGUGUGAUCUCCCUCUCCUUUUGUGAACACGUCCCCUUCGGCACGUCUAUUCAUACUUUUGCACUCAAUAUUUACGUGUAUGAAUAUUGCAUCCUUUAAUUUACCCUGUAUAUGAACAUUACAUCCUUCAAA